rnacentral:rRNA from 1 species
GCCAGACUCCUACGGGAGGCAGCAGUGGGGAAUAUUGGGCAAUGGGCGCAAGCCUGACCCAGCAACGCCGCGUGAAGGAAGAAGGCUUUCGGGUUGUAAACUUCUUUUCUCAGGGACGAAGAAAGUGACGGUACCUGAGGAAUAAGCCACGGCUAACUACGUGCCAGCAGCCGCGGUAAUACGUAGGGGGCAAGCGUUAUCCGGAUUUACUGGGUGUAAAGGGGGCGCAGACGGCAGCGCAAGCCAGGAGUGAAAGCCCGGGGCCCAACCCCGGGACUGCUCUUGGAACUGCGCGGCUGGAGUGCAGGAGGGGCAGGCGGAAUUCCUGGUGUAGCGGUGAAAUGCGUAGAUAUCAGGAGGAACACCGGUGGCGAAGGCGGCCUGCUGGACUGCGACUGACGUUGAGGCCCGAAAGCGUGGGGAGCAAACAGGAUUAGAUACCCCAGUAC